rnacentral:rRNA from 1 species
GCCCCAUAAUCUGGGGUGCGGACAGUGUCUGGUGGGUAGUUUGACUGGGGCGGUCUCCUCCCAAAGCGUAACGGAGGAGCACGAAGGUUGGCUAAGCAUGGUCGGACAUCAUGCGGUUAGUGCAAAGGCAUAAGCCAGCUUGACUGCGAGAGUGACGGCUCGAGCAGGUACGAAAGUAGGUCUUAGUGAUCCGGUGGUUCUGAAUGGAAGGGCCAUCGCUCAACGGAUAAAAGGUACUCCGGGGAUAACAGGCUGAUACCGCCCAAGAGUUCAUAUCGACGGCGGUGUUUGGCACCUCGAUGUCGGCUCAUCACAUCCUGGGGCUGAAGUAGGUCCCAAGGGUAUGGCUGUUCGCCAUUUAAAGUGGUACGCGAGCUGGGUUUAGAACGUCGUGAGACAGUUCGGUCCCUAUCUGCCGUGGGCGUUGGAAGAUUGAAAGGGGCUGCUCCUAGUACGAGAGGACCGGAGUGGACGCACCGCUGGUGUUCGGGUUGUCAUGCCAAUGGCACUGCCCGGUAGCUAAGUGCGGAAGAGAUAACCGCUGAAAGCAUCUAAGCGGGAAACUUGCCUUGAGAUGAGUCUUCCCUGACUCUUUAAGGGUCCUAAAGGAACGUUUAAGACGAAGACGUUGAUAGGCUGGGUGUGUAAGCGUAGCGAUACGUUGAGCUAACCAGUACUAAUGAACCGUGAGGCUUAACCUGACAACACCGAAGGUGUUUUAG